rnacentral:rRNA from 1 species
UGGGGAAUUUUGGACAAUGGGCGAAAGCCUGAUCCAGCAAUGCCGCGUGUGUGAAGAAGGCCUUCGGGUUGUAAAGCACUUUUGUCCGGAAAGAAAUCCUCUGGGUUAAUACCUCGGGGGGAUGACGGUACCGGAAGAAUAAGCACCGGCUAACUACGUGCCAGCAGCCGCGGUAAUACGUAGGGUGCAAGCGUUAAUCGGAAUUACUGGGCGUAAAGCGUGCGCAGGCGGUUUUGUAAGACGGAUGUGAAAUCCCCGGGGCUUAACCUGGGAACUGCAUUCGUGACUGCAAGGCUAGAGUAUGGCAGAGGGGGGUUAGAAUUCCACGUGUAGCAGUGAAAUGCGUAGAGAUGUGGAGGAAUACCGAUGGCGAAGGCAGCCCCCUGGGCCAAUACUGACGCUCAUGCACGAAAGCGUGGGGAGCAAACAGGAUUAGAUACCCUGGUAGUCCACGCCCUAAACGAUGUCAACUAGUUGUUGGGGAUUCAUUUCCUUAGUAACGUAGCUAACGCGUGAAGUUGACCGCCUGGGGAGUACGGUCGCAAGAUU